rnacentral:siRNA from 1 species
UUAUCCCUAGAUUCUUGCGAUA